GGUCAGUACAGGUGGGCAGCCCUGUGCUACACGGUUUCUGUAUUCUUGGCCUAUAAUCCGGCUGCUUUUCCAGUGAAGCAUCAUUGGGAACAUACAGGCCAGACGUGCCAGAAAGAAAGAAAGACACCUUCAUUGUGGAACGAGAGAACUGAACAGGGAGGAACAGAAAGACGUCAAGAAAAAAACAAAGAGCACCGGCAGAAAAGACCUGCGACGAAAACAGGAGAAGAGGGAACAAAGGAACAAAAGGAGAAAAUGCUACUGAGAUGGGCUGAGUGUUUUUUGGAGGAGCUGAUCUGACAAGCACCUCUUACGUUUAUUCGAGCCUGGUAGGAGACCACUCCGGCCGAGUUGUUGGCGAUGCAGCGGUAGACGCCCCCGUCGCGGACCUGCGUGUGCGAGAUGUUCAGAUUAUCAAUACCCUCUUUAUUCAGCUCCAUGGCCACAGGAGAUGGUUGCCCUGGCAACUGCACUCAGGUCUCAGGACGACCUGCACCAUGUCCUGGGCGGACAUCUUGCCGUGGCGGGCGAAGCACUGGUAGGCCCCGGCGUCGCUCUUGGCCAUGCCCUCCAUCACCAGGCUCUCGCGGCUGGGGCCCGUGAUGCGCACGUUGCUGCCGGGCCGGAGGAUCUCGCCGUUACGGUACCAGGACAGCUCAAACUCCUCCGAGCCGCUCACGCUGCAGGACAGAGACACCUGGCUACCCACGCUGCCCUUCACCUUCCGAGGACUCACCACCACCUUCAGGGGCUCUGCAAGACACAGCGGACGCCAUUUUCCAACAGACUGCGCUCAUUCACUGCUCUAUUUUACCAUGCCAUACGGUCAACAACAUGGUCUCUACUGCAAAAACAGUCAAAUAGAUUCAGGGGAUACAAAUCCUUAACAUAGAAGAACAGAGACACAACCAAACCAUCACAACAGCACACAGGUAGGCAACCAGAACACAACACACAACAUAUGGGCAGAAUGUAGAGAGCCACUUAAACAAACAUACACAAACCUUUUUAGAUAUCGUGAUGCAGACCUGGGUCAAUUACAUAAUGGUUUUUGGAUUCAAAUAAUUUUCUAUGCUUUACUGUGCUUGUCUCUUGAAUUGGAAC